GACGUAGGGCGCGAGCGUUGUCCGAAAUCAUUGGGCGUAAAGGGCGCGUAGGCGGCUUGGCAAGUCCGUCAUGAAAUGUACCGGUUCACCGGGGCACUGUGUCGGAAACUGCCUGGCUUGAGGUCGAGGGAGGAGAGUGGAAUUCCUGGCGUAGCGGUGAAAUGCGUAGAUAUCAGGAGAACACCCGUGGCGAAGGCGGCUCUCUAUCUCGAUUCUGACGCUGAGGCGCGAAAGCUAGGGGGAGCAAAACGGG
rnacentral:rRNA from 1 species